rnacentral:tRNA from 1 species
GAGAAAUGUAAAUGCUACAAGAAAAGGUUUCUAACCUUAGCUUUUGCGGCCUAAGCCCCGCUCUUUCUCC